UAGGGAAUCUUCCACAAUGGGCGAAAGCCUGAUGGAGCAACGCCGCGUGUGUGAUGAAGGGUUUCGGCUCGUAAAACACUGUUGUAAGAGAAGAACAUAUCUGAGAGUAACUGUUCAGGUAUUGACGGUAUUUAACCAGAAAGCCACGGCUAAAUACGUGCCAG
rnacentral:rRNA from 1 species